rnacentral:rRNA from 1 species
GAUGAACGCUGGCGGCGUGCCUAAUACAUGCAAGUCGAGCGGACGGACUAGGAGCUUGCUUCUAUGAUGUUAGCGGCGGACGGGUGAGUAACACGUGGGUAACCUACCUAUAAGACUGGGAUAACAUCGGGAAACCGGAGCUAAUACCGGAUAAUAUUUUGAACCACAUGGUUCAAAAGUAAAAGACGGUCUUGCUUUUCCUUAUAGAUGGAUCCGCGCUGUAUUAGCUAGUUGGUAAGGUAACGGCAUACCAAGGCCACGAUGCAUAGCCGCCCUGAGAGGGUUAUGCGCCACUCUGGAACUGAGACACGCCCCACACCCCUACGGGAGGGCGCAGUAGAGACUCCUGCGCUAUGGGCGAAAGCCAGACGGCACCACGCCGCGUGUGAUAUGGAGUUCCUCGGAUUGUAAAACUCUGUUAUGAGGGAAGACCGUAUGUGUAGGUAAAUGUCGAUAUCUUGACGGUACCUAAUCAGAAAGCCACGGCUAACUACGUG